CAUUCUGUAUCCUACGUGUGGGCCAUACAUUGUAGUCAUUUCUGUGGCAGUGUUACUAUGGGAAUAUGUCGCCUGUCUACCAUGGUCCUGAUGGCAAUCAUUACCACUGGCCUCUUAUCAGCAGACAGGAUCAGUUGGGACAAACAUGUUAUGGGGUACCUAGGUAAUGAUGUCAAACUGGGUUGUAAAUUGCUCAAUGGCAGUCUCAAUCAGUUCCAGUGGCAUUUGGUGAAACCAGAAAACAAGGUUACGUUAUUAGUUCAUAAUCCUGAACAUGGGCUUUUCAUUCAUGAGACACCCCUAAAAGGAAGGUUGGAGUCAGCUGGUACUGCCCUGGAUGCCUCCAUCACUAUAAAAGAUGUGCAGAUGAAUGAUACUGGGACAUACACCUGUGUAGUGACAUCCUUCCCCGUUGGAGAAUUUAAGGAAACGUCACCCUUACUGUACUGGAUCACCCUCGUUCUCCAUUUCCUGGUGUGGUUGUUAGGAUUGUGAUUACAGUCCUUCUGUCAAUGGUCACCGUGACUGUGAUAGCUUACUUCCUCAUUCAUAGGAAAAUCUUCCUCCUGGACUGACCAACAAUGUCUCCGCUUCUACCAUAUACAAUACAAGUAUAAACUGAGAACAAUUGAUGAUCGCACAGAGAACAACUCAACUGGCUCUGGACUUCAUGUUUAACACCAUCAUCACAUAAACACACCCACAAUAAACCUGUAUAAACUUUUGAUGUAUGACAAGCCAAAAAGACCAGAUUUCAACUCAGCCACAGAACAGGCCGGCAACUAUAGAGCACACUGGAGGCACAAGGACAAACAUUUUAUCCCCUAAAUUGCACAUACAAAGUCAUUCUCUCAAUUGACUUAUUUUGGUAAAUCUUUUUUUGUAGAAUCCUCCAACACUGAACCACAUGAAUUAAGUGUUGUAAUAACAUGAUAAUGAUAACAUGAUAACAUGUAAUAAAAUGAUGAAUGUUGUUGUCCGCACUGGAUUCAAACCCGUGGUCACCCACAUGAGAGGCUAUGUCUUCAGACACUCCUCCACGGAACUGCACGCUUAUCUUGUGUCGGUAUAGCGUCUCGAAAUUAGAUAAUUUUGUCACGCAUUAACAUCACGCAAAAUUCGAAUAUUUCACUAGACCAGUGUUUCUUAAUCCUGGUCUUCGGACCCGAAGGGGUGCACGUUUUAGUUUUUGCCCCAGCACUCACACACCUGAUCCGGCACAAAGACUUAAGCAGGGCAUGUUGACCUUAGGAAAACCCCCCUAUAUUAACAGAUUUUUCAAGGUCAGGAUAAAAUGAAGGAGUAUGUUAGUACUUUGAUGUUUUGCUUUAAAGGUACAGUGAGGAACACUUAACAUGAGGUAUUUUAUCAUGUUUAUCAUGUUUUAUUCUCAGCAUUAGGCAUAGUUUUUGCCUAACCUCACAGUCUUUUAAAACAGUUAUAUAUGAGUAUGAAUGAAAAAAAUUGCACUUGUUUCAUUUAUUUGGAGUGUUUGGUAAUCAAACAUGCUAUCUUCAGGAAUGAAAAUGUCAAUGCUCCUCAAGUAAAUUCAGCCAAUCAAAGGGAUAUUAGGGUUGGAUGUCUGAAUAGCUUGGAAAUCAAUUGGGCUCAAUUUGGACCCUAACUAAUAAAUUUUUACACAUUUUGGCCCUUGACAUCAGAUUGGCUGCACACAGGUUCAAAAGAUGCAUUUUGACACAAUCAAAAUAAAUUCCUGAACACCUCCAGAGAACAGUUGUUGAAUAUCAGACUGGAAUGCGUACUCUGUAUUAAAUUGUAACCAAUAAAUAGUAUUAAAGUAGUAUUAAAAUAGUAGAUACAACCCUGUUUCCAAAAAAGUUGGGCCACUAUGAAAUGGAAAUAAAAACUGACCCAACUCCCCAACUCCCCUGGCACAAUAAUAUAGCAGUGUAAAACCUUGGGGCUGAGACAAGGGGUCCAGUGACAAUGUGGCCCUAUUUGGGGGAGGUCCUGGACAGGGCCCAACAGGCAGGAAGCCAAUCCACCCACAUUGCCAAGCAUCAACCAAA